AUGCAAAUCAGGUAAGUCAGCAUAGGGAAAUCCGCGGGGGAUUUAAAUAUCCCCCGCGGAUUUCCCUAUGCUGACUUACCUGAUUUGCAU
rnacentral:pre_miRNA from 1 species